rnacentral:rRNA from 1 species
UACGGGGGGGGCAAGCGUUGUUCGGAAUUACUGGGCGUAAAGGGCUCGUAGGCGGCCAACUAAGUCAGACGUGAAAUCCCCAGGCUCAACUUGGGAACUGCGUCUGAUACUGGAUGCUUGAAUUCGGGAGAGGGAUGCAGAAUUCCAGGUGUAGCGGUGAAAUGCGUAGAUAUCUGGAGGAAUACCGGUGGCGAAGGCGGCAUCCUGGACCGACAUUGACGCUGAUGAGCGAAAGCUAGGGGAGCAAACGGG